CAGUACAGAGUGCUUUCCUGGGUUCAAGCCAGAUGAAGAGGCUGAGAGGGGACAGACCUUUUCUCUAGGUCAGCAGACAACUGCUAUGACUCCCUGAGCUUUUGCUAAAUUGUCCUGUAUCCUUGAGCAGUGGCCUCAGGCAGCAUGACUUGGCCACCAGAACUCACUGGCAGGUCAUGGGGUUGGUGAUAUACCGUGUCUUGCAGCUCUGGCUCCUCAAGCAGGACCCAUGAUGCAUGAUCUAGUUCUGCGGUCUUAGUUUCAGGAAGACUUUAGGGGCCCCUUCUUUAAGAGCUGGUAUGAGCCAUUGAUGUUGGUUGCCUUCUGGAACUGGUUGGUCUUACAAUUGCCUUAUUCACUCUUUGGUUUCUCUUGGCGCUUAAUUCAGACAUUUGGAGAACACAUAUUCUCUGCUUCAAGCAGAAUAAUAAUCCACAUUUGUUAGAGUUCCCAUUGUGGCUCAGUGGUAACGAACCUGACUAGUGUCCAUGAAGAUGAGGGUUUGAUUCCUGGUCCCACUCAGUGGGUUAAGGAUCCGGUGUUUCCAUGAGCUGCAGUGUAGGUCGCAGACAUGGUUUGGAUCCUUUGCUGCUGUGGCUGUGGCAUAGGUCAGCAGCUGCAGCUCCGAUUUGACCCUAAGCUUGGGAACAUCCAUAUGCUGCACUUGCAGCCCCCUGCCCAACAACAACAACAAAAAUCCACAUUCGCUUGGAUUGCCAAUUGGAUUCCACCCCAUCUACCUCUAUAAUAGUAUUUGUAUUCCAGAUGAAUGUACUACACAUGGGAAUUGGUUUUUAAAGUGUGGAGGCAGCAACUCCCCUUGUUUCUGCCUGGAAAGCUGCGAUAAUUGGCCUUCUGGUAGAAGAUAGGCAUCUGUCAAAGCCCUCGAAGCUAGAGAAGUAUUCCAGCAGCUGGUGACCUUAUUUCCCUUACCAAGAUCCCUGCUUGCUCACCUGGCCUCAUCCAAUCAGGGCUGACAUCCCCGGCCUGGCUGUGGGAUUGCCUAAGAGCCUCCUACCUCUUCGCUUGCCAGCUGGUGCUUGUUUGUAUGAGACACUGGCCCCAGCAGAGGGGUGCUAGGAGGCAUUCAACCUCUGCUAUCUUCAACACAGGACUUCCAAAGUCUUCCUGGGUGCUGACAUCCCACUGCUAGAUGUGAGAAGAAUGAAGCAAGUUGUACUUGAGUUUCCAAGUACAAUGGUUUUGGUUUUUUUCCUUUUGUUGAUUGCCUUGGAAGGAUGGAAUAUAUUUAAAUGAAGAUUAGGCUCUUCUUGGCCAUGAAUAAAGGACAAGAGGUUUUUGGUACACAUUGAUUUACACUCUGGGUUUAACGGGUCAUCCAAGGCAAACGUGAAAGCACAAAAGGAGGAGGGGAGUGUAUAGGGAAUAUGGGGGGAGGGCACAGUUGGCAGCCACAAGAUUUCUGGCUGUGGCCAUUAGGGCAUCUCCAUCUUUUUUUUUUUUUUUUUUUUUUUUGGUCUUUUUAGGGCCGCACCCAAGGCACAUGGAAGUUCCCAGGCUAGGGAUCGAAUCGGAACUGUAGCUGCUGGCCUACACCUCAGCCACAGCAACACAGGAUCCAAGCUGCGUCUGCGACCUAUACCACAGCUUACGGCAAUGCCAGAUCCUUAACCCACUGAGCGAGGCCAGGGAUUGAACCCAUGUCCUCACGGGUCCUAGUCGGAUUCAUUAACUGCUGAGUCAUGACAGGAACUGCUAGUAUGUCUCCAGCUUUUGAAGGACACUGGAUCAAGUCCCUUUUCAAGUCCCUUCAAAACCAUGUCAACCAAUUCUUUGCCUGUUAUUCAAGACUGAUGGCUUAGGAAGCAUGUGGUCUAGUUCCUAGAAAGAAAACCUGACCCACCCACCUCUCCACCACUGCUGAACUUGUGUCCAACUCUCUGACCCUGUUCCUUGCCACAAAAUGUUCAUUUUCUCUGAACCCCCAGCCCCUGUCCCAGAUCCUGGAAUCUUAGUUGAGGCCCGAACUUGAAUUCUUCACUUGUCAGGAUGAGGGUUUGGACACAGACUCAUCCCUCCUCUGCCAAUUCUCCUUUCAAACCGAGGCAUAAGAUUUUUUUUUUUUAAUUAAAAAGACCCCAAAACCUGAGGCUGUGGCUGCUAGUUACCUACCGAAAUUAUUUCCCUUUCUUCUACAACAUAUGGUCAGACCAUAUUUUCUAGCCCAUCUCCCUUGAAGUUUGAUGGGGUCUUGUGACUGCGGAAACACUUUGAGGCUUGGCCCCCAAAACCUUCCUUGGGAUUUUCUCUUCUCUCAUCUGACAACUGGAUGCCACUACCUGGGAUGACAUUGGAAAUCUCCUGUUGAAGAGGACAGGCCUUUUGUCAGCUGGAUUUCUGAAUGAUUCCUAGAUACCAAAAACUAGACUUCAUGAGAGUGAAAAGUGCAUUCUAUUUCAGAUACAGGUUAGACUACGAAGGUGUAAAGGUUAUCUGUUUCAGAGUUUGGCAUUACCAUAUUUAAUAAUAAAAUCCUUUAUGAUAUGU
rnacentral:lncRNA from 1 species